rnacentral:rRNA from 1 species
UACGUAGGGGCCGAGCGUUGUCCGGAGUUAUUGGGCGUAAAGCGCGCGCAGGCGGCCUCGCGCGCCCGACGUGAAAGCCCCCGGCUUAACCGGGGAGAGUCGUUGGGGACGGCGGGGCUUGAGGGCGGGAGAGGUCGGUGGAAUUCCCGGUGUAGUGGUGAAAUGCGUAGAGAUCGGGAGGAGCACCUGUGGCGAAGGCGGCCGACUGGGCCGACCCUGACGCUGAGGCGCGAAGGCGUGGGGAGCGAACGGG